CCUACGGGAGGCAGCAGUCGAGAAUCAUUCACAAUGGGGGAAACCCUGAUGGUGCGACGCCGCGUGGGGGAAUGAAGGUCUUCGGAUUGUAAACCCCUGUCAUGUGGGAGCAAAUUAAAAAGAUAGUACCACAAGAGGAAGAGACGGCUAACUCUGUGCCAGCAGCCGCGGUAAUACGGAGGUCCCAAGCGUUGUUCGGAAUAACGGGGCGUAAAGGGUGCGUAGGCGGUUUCGUAAGUCGUGUGUGAAAGGCGCGGGCUCAACCCGCGGACGGCACAUGAUACUGCGAGACUAGAGUAAUGGAGGGGGAACCGGAAUUCUCGGUGUAGCAGUGAAAUGCGUAGAGAUCGAGAGGAACACUCGUGGCGAAGGCGGGUUCCUGGACAUUGACUGACGCUGAGGCACGAAGGCCAGGGGAGCGAAAGGGAUUAGAUACCCGUGUAGUC
rnacentral:rRNA from 1 species